GAUGAAGAACGCAGUGAAAUGCGAUAAUUAAUGUGAAUUGCAGAAUUCAGUGAAUCAUCGAGUCUUUGAACGCACAUUGCGCCCCCUGGUAUUCCGGGGGGCAUGCCUGUCCGAGCGUCAUUGCUGCCAUCAAGCACGGCUUGUGUGUUGGGCUUCCGUCCCUGGCAACGGGGACGGGCCCAAAAGGCAGUGGCGGCACCAUGUCUGGUCCUCGAGCGUAUGGGGCUUUGUCACCCGCUCCCGUAGGUCCAGCUGGCAGCUAGCCUCGCAACCAAUCUUUUUAACCAGGUUGACCUCGGAUCAGGUAGGGAUACCCGCUGAACUUAAGCAUAUCAAUAAGCGGAGGA
rnacentral:misc_RNA from 1 species